AGUGUUCCAGUAAAGUGCUGCAGGUGUGGCUACUGUGUCAUGUGCAUCAGUAGGUGGCAGAGAGGAAAGAGGCCAUGUCUACCCUCAGUGUUCUGACCUGUGAGCAUCUGAGUAAUUAGUAGCCUUACACU